rnacentral:rRNA from 1 species
GAUGAACGCUGGCGGCGUGCUUAACACAUGCGAGUCGAACGAGAAGUGAAGAUGGAAACCUUCGGGCGGAAGGCUUUAUUUCGAGUGGCGGACGGGUGAGUAACGCGUGGGUAACCUGCCUCAUACAGGGGGAUAACAGUUGGAAACGACUGUUAAUACCGCAUAAGACCACAGCACCGCAUGGUGCGGGGGUAAAAACUCCGGUGGUAUGAGAUGGACCCGCGUUCGAUUAGCCAGUUGGCGGGGUAACGGCCCACCAAAGCGACGAUCGAUAGCCGAUCUGAGAGGAUGACCGGCCACAUUGGGACUGAGACACGGCCCAAACUCCUACGGGAGGCAGCAGUGGGGAAUAUUGCACAAUGGGGAAACCCUGAUGCAGCGACGCCGCGUGAGUGAAGAAGUAUUUCGGUAUGUAAAGCUCUAUCAGCAGGGAAGAAAAUGACGGUACCUGAGUAAGAAGCCCCGGCUAACUACGU